rnacentral:lncRNA from 10 species
AAGAUGGUAGAAUAGAAAGCUCCACUGAUUGUACUCCCUGCAAGUACACCAAAUUGACAAGUAUUUGCACAGAAAAAACACCUUCAUAAGAACUAAAAAUCAGACCCAGACAUAAUUGAAGAUCUCAGACAUCCUAUCACAGCAAGAUAACUUCAAGUUACCCUAUCCUUUUCUCGGAAGCCUGAGAACCUCUGCAUACCACAAUCUCUCCCUGAAAGGAUCCUUGGACACAAUUCCGUUCACCAAUCUCAGGAAGAAAAAAAAAAAGGUUAAGUCCCAGCAAAGGCCCAUGGGUGAGAGGCUCGGCGUGAGUAGAGGAUCUUCAUAGAUGAAGGGAUGAAGGAAAUUGUAUGAGCAAAUUUUCUGAAGCCAAGUGGAACGAAAUGAUCCUCUGGCCAUACUGGGUGAGAUACAGUUCUCACAGUGGGAGCUUGUGGGUUGCCAUAGAGACCUAUUGCCUUGUGGAAGAUGGUGAUUUAACAUAAGGGAUUAACCACAAAGAAAUGGUGCUGUCAAUUACUAUGAAAUUGAACAACAUCACAUUAGAAAAGAUAUAUGUAUCCACUUUAGAGAUUUGAAGUUGACUCAUAAAAUUUACAAAAUCAAGCAGCAAAAAUAUUAUAUAUCCUUACUUCUUUGUAGAACACUCACUCUCCUUAUGAUUGCUUUAGGAUUACCACUGAGUACCCCUCCCCAACCCAGCUUAGGAAGGAAUGUGUCUCUGGACCUGAGGGAAGAAGAAAACUAUAAAAAAUUGUAUACUACCCAUGUAAAAAGCAGGCAAAGUAAAAGCUAAAUUUUCAGAGAAUUGCUAAUAUCAGGGACUCUGCAAAUAUAAAAUUUUCUCUAAAUAUUCAUAUAAUUUUUGUCUUUAAAUUGGGGUUAGAAUAUCGAGGAUGAAGAUUCUGUCCUUUGAAAAGAAGACUACAAAUGAAAUUUUAUGAUUGUGUUUAGCCAAAUACAAAGAUAUGUGUUUAGGAGUUACUUCGAUGGCUUAUUUGCUUACAAAUUUAGAUGUCUGGGGGAGGGAUAGCAUUAGGAGAAAUACCUAAUGUAAAUGCCAAGUUGAUGGGUGCAGCAAACCAACAUGGCACAAGUAUACCUAUGUAACAAACAUGCACAUUGUACACAUGUAUCUUAGAACUUUAAGUAUAAUAAAAAACAAAAGAAAC